rnacentral:lncRNA from 1 species
AAGAAGAAAACUAUUAUUGUAUAAACUUUUUGCUAUUUAUAUAAAAUAUUUAUGUCUAUUUCUUAAUAUAAUUCAUCAAGUGAAAUUCUUGAUACUUGUGUUAUCAAAAUCAAAACAUUUGCCGUCAACAUUUUUUAUAAUUUUAUUUGGAAAGUAAUAAAAGCCCUAUGAAAAAUACAAAAUUCUCAUUUUCAUUGUGAUGAUACGCAUAUGUCAAAUUGAAUUAGGUUAGGUACGUGUCAUUAAAAAUGACAGUAAAUAUUGAAUAAGGUAAUUAGAAGGACCAUCGAUUGAGUUUUAACUGAUUGUUAUAUAUCGUUUUAUUAUAGUAUGUAGGUCGAAAACAAGAUCGGUGAACGUUGUAAUUGAAAUUAAAAAGUGAUCGAACAUAGACUUACAAAGGAGUGUCAGUGAAGAACAGCCUCUGCGAAAGAUUUGAAUGUAGAGUUACAAUGGUUGCAAGAGUAUGGUUUCUCAAUAACGUGAGAUUCUCUAUGAGUUUUUAAAUGAUCCAUAUCUGCAAAGUGGCUGCUACAGAAUUCACAAUGUGUUCAUCUGUGGAUUCGCAACUUCCAAAGACUUCACCACAACGAAUACACCUAUAAAACAUAACUUGUUGAUUACUGAAGAAUAAUACGAAAAUAAAUAUACUACCUCCAAAUAGUUUGACUGUUUUCCAAAAUGAUGCUGUGCCCAGCAAUGUGUUUAUUCAGUCUUGAUUUCUGUGUGAAACUUUUUGAACAUUCUGGACAUUUGUAUGGCUUUUCUGGAAGAUGAGUUACCACAUGGCGUUUCAAAGUGUAUCCAUCACAGAACCCCUUGGAACAAACUUCGCAUACAUGAGGUCUUGUUUUUCCAUCCACACAUACAUGUUUUUUUAAUCCUUCUUGAUUUUCAAAUAGUUUUCCACAUUGUAAGCAAGAUACUCUACCAUCUUUACAAUGAUAUCUGCAAAUAAAAUAAAUGGAUAUAUUACUUAAA